UUAUGAUGAUGAGGACAAUCUUUGAGAAGAGUCUCGAACCUCUCCCAUGCAUGAUAUAAACUCUCUCCAUUUUUUUGCCUAAAUGACAUGAUUUCACUCCUGAGCCU